rnacentral:rRNA from 1 species
GCUAACGAUCAUACCACGUUGAAUAAACCAGUUCCCGUCAGGUCACUGAAGUUAAGCAAUGUCGGGCGUGGUCAGUACUUGGAUGGGUGACCGCUUGGGAACACCACGUAUCGUUGGCUCUU